AAUAAUUUUUUUGUUCAGAAAGAGUUCGGAACCCUGUUCACUUGGAGCCGCGAAGAGGAUGGUGCUGGCGUCGUCGCCUAUGAGGCACUCGGCGAUUCUUGUAGGGCGGAGGCGGGGUGCGGCCGUCGCCUCCCUUGCGGAGGACGGUUUUGGACUGGAUCAUGUUAGCCAGGUGGCCGCUUGUCCCCGGCUUCAGCUGAUCCACCUCUUUGCUCAUCGAGCUCCCCCUUGCUGUUGCGCAGUCGCCAUGGCCACGGAAACCCUAGUCAAAUUCCAUCUUCGCCCACUUUAACUUGUGCUGGGUCUGGCCGAGGAUUCGCGUUUUGGGUUCGAUUCGCGCGUGUUAUCUCCCACAACCGAAUCGAAAUUCCAUUUUUGUCCCCUCUCCUCUUCCCUCUCUUCUUGAACGCGCUACGCUCUCACCUCCGUUCCUUGUACCACCUCGAUCACCGAAUCAGUCAUUUUGCAUUUGCCAUUUGAGGCGUCGAAUUGUUUAAUUUGAUCCGUUGUGUCCGCUCCGUGGAUCUUGCAACUCGAAGCAGCGAGGAGACAUCUCUCGUUCCAUGUUUUACUGAAGAGACGAUUAGGAUUCCAUGUUGGAUGUGAGCUCUCCUUCACGAACAGUGAUCAGAGCAUCCAAAGAUCAUCUCUUUCUAUGUUUUGUGCAACUUGUGAGGUUUAUUAUGGUGUGGAUUCCCAGUGUCUAGGUGUACUGCAGUCUUGAAGGUGACAUUCUAUAAUUACAUUCUUCUUUCAGGUGAUCGGCUAUCGCCUCCUCCGGCGUACUCUCCUCUGGCAAUUGGCGAUCUUUCCUUCGGCAUGCAGGAUGGAGCACGGAUGACAAAUUAGCAUGUUCAAAUUACAUGAGGAUGUCAGAUGCAUUUUCAUUAGCUUGCAGUGGAAAGAUUGGUUUGACAAUUAUCGAAAAUUUUAAUCAGUUGAUCACUCAUUCAAACGAAAUAUGAAAAGUUUUAAAAGGAAUGAAAUUGUCAGGAAAUUUCCCCCAGUAUGGAAGUCAUGUGAAGGAGUUCUUGAUGAAAUUGACAGCUAUGAAUUUCUACCAGUAUAUCAGGAUAAUUCUGAUGACAUAAAUAAGUACAUUGUUAGAGUGAACAAGUGUUAUUGGAGAAAAGGUAGUAUAUUUUGAGAGCUACCAUAUUGGAAAUAUUUACUCAUUUGGUAUAAUUUAAAUGUAAUGCAUGUCAAAAAAAAAAAAUCUUUGAUAACAUCUUCAAUACCAUGAUGAAUGUUCAUGGGAAAACUAAAUAUAUAGUAAAUUCAUGUGAGGAAUUAAAGAAUUAGUUAGUAAGCAGACC